rnacentral:rRNA from 1 species
GAUCCUGGCUCAGGACGAACGCUGGCGGCGUGCUUAACACAUGCAAGUCGAACGAGGAGGACAAGAGAAGCUUGCUUCUUUUGGAAUCGAGUGGCAAACGGGUGAGUAACACGUAAACAACCUGCCUUCAGGAUGGGGACAACAGUACGGAAAACGACUGCUAAUACCGAAUACGCUUGGGAGACCGCAUGAUCUACCAAGAAAGGGUGGCCCUCUACCGUGUAAGCUAUCGCCUGAAGAGGGGUUUGCGU